rnacentral:rRNA from 1 species
GUAGGGGGCCAGCGUUGUCCGGAAUCAUUGGGCGUAAAGCGCGCGUAGGCGGCCCGGUAAGUCCGCUGUAAAAGUCAAAGGCUCAACCUUUGAAUGCCGGUGGAUACUGCCGGGCUAGAGUCCGGAAGAGGCGAGUGGAAUUCCUGGUGUAGCGGUGGAAUGCGCAGAUAUCAGGAGGAACACCUAUAGCGAAGGCAGCUCGCUGGGACGGUACUGACGCUGAGGCGCGAAAGCGUGGGGAGCGAACAGGAUUAGAUACCCUGGUAGUCCACGCCGUAAACGAUGGGCACUAGGUGUGGGAGGUGUCGACUCCUCCCGUGCCGUCGCUAACGCACUAAGUGCCCCGCCUGGGGAGUACGGCCGCAAGGCUAAA